rnacentral:rRNA from 1 species
GUCUACGGCCAUGCCACCCCGAACGUGCCCAAUCUCGUCUGAUCUCGGAAGUUAAACAGGGUCAGGCCUGGUUAGUACUUGGAUGGAAGACCACGUAGGAAUACCAGGUGCUGUAAGCA